rnacentral:misc_RNA from 1 species
GAUGAAGAACGCAGCGAAAUGCGAUAAGUAAUGUGAAUUGCAGAAUUCAGUGAAUCAUCGAAUCUUUGAACGCACAUUGCGCCCGGCAGUACUCUGCCGGGCAUGCCUGUUCGAGCGUCAUUUCAACCCUCAAGCCCUGCUUGGUGUUGGGGCCCCACGGCUGCCGUGGGCCCUGAAAGGAAGUGGCGGGCUCGCUACAACUCCGAGCGUAGUAAUUCAUUAUCUCGCUUAGGGCGUUGGGCGGCGCUCCAGCCGUUAAAGAACCAUCUUUAACUCAAGGUUGACCUCGGAUCAGGUAGGAAUACCCGCUGAACUUAAGCAUAUCAAUAAGCGGAAGA